rnacentral:rRNA from 1 species
GAUGAACGCUGGCGGCGUGCCUAAUACAUGCAAGUCGAGCGAACAGAUAAGGAGCUUGCUCCUUUGACGUUAGCGGCGGACGGGUGAGUAACACGUGGAUAACCUACCUAUAAGACUGGGAUAACUUCGGGAAACCGGAGCUAAUACCGGAUAACAUAUUGAACCGCAUGGUUCAAUAGUUAAAUGCGGCUUUUCUGUCACUUCUAGAUGGAUCCGCGCCGUAUUAGCUAGUUGGUAAGGUAACGGCUUACCAAGGCAACGAUACGUAGCCGACCAGAGAGGGUGAUCGGCCACACUGGAACUGAGACACGGUCCAGACGCCUACGGGAGGCAGCAGAAGGGAAUCUUCCGCAAUGGGCGAAAGCCUGACGGAGCAACGCCGCGUGAGUGAUGAAGGUCUUCGGAUCGUAAAACUCUGUUAUCAGGGAAGAACAAAUGUGUAAGUAACUGUGCACAUCUUGACGGUACCUGAUCAGAAAGCCACGGCUAACUACGUG